CAUAUAUAUUCUUUCAAUUUCUCUCUUCUCCUCAGACACCAGCGGACAGGGAAAGAAAAACGCAAAUGGCUUCAAAAUGAGUGACUAGGGAAGAAGUUUCGUGCUCUGUUUUUUAGCAUGAAAUCCUUAACACUGACUUCGAGACUGAUCAAAAUUUUCGACUUCUUUCGACCAUGAAAGAAAAUGAAGAAAAAAAACGUGGGAUUUCCUUCAGAUUUUCUGGUAUUGUGGACCUGAAACUGAUGAAUAAAAAUAGGAGAAAGAAGAGAAAAGGCGGUUUGGUGUUGCUCAUUUGCUAGCUCCACGUUAACCUUACCUUGACCAAAAAAAAAAGUUAACCUUACGUUUGCACAACUCCCGUGGGAAAGUCAAAAUCACCCUUCUUUAUUCAAUUCUAAAGGGAUAAUUCUGUAAAAACGAGCGCUCUCGGCCUUAUGUUUCUCUCGCUUCUCUCCAACAAUCUCCACUCACACUCGCCCAAAUGUGAAACUGAAAACCCUAGCAGAGCGAAAAAGAAAGCAAAUUUAAGAAAUGAAGACUCCAACAUCUAGCAAAGAGACACAGCUUGAAAUCCAAGCAAUCAUGGCGGAACUCCCACCUGAGGUCAUCAUCAACAUACUCUCUCGUCUACAAGUUGGGCGCCUCCUCUGCUUCAGGUCCAUUGCCAAAACAUGGCGUUCCCUCAUCGACAGCCCCUAUUUCGUCGAUCUCCACCUUGAAAAAUCCGCAGAAGCCAAAUCCCAUCUCAGUUUGAUUCUCAGAAAGGACUCUGACCUCUAUUACAUCAAUUUCGAUUCCUUAGACGACGCCGUCGAGCUCAAUCACCCCCUCAUGUGUUACAGCAAUCGAAUUCGCGUCUUGGGCUCCUGCAACGGCCUCUUGUGCAUUUGUAAUGUGGCCGAAGACAUCGCUCUCUGGAAUCCAUCUACCAAAAAGUACAGGGUAUUGCCCUCUCUGCCCUCCGAUCGAAAGCGCGACUCGGGCAUGUGUUUGUGUGGUGCGAGGGUUUAUGGGCUCGGAUACGACGCCGGUCACGAUGACUAUAAGUUGGUCAGGAUUUCCCAGUUCAUCGGAUUGGAUUACCUCUCGUUUGAGUCUGAGGUGAAGGUUUAUAGCCUCAGAAACAAUGCGUGGAAGAAAGUCGAAGACAUGCCUUAUGUGCUCUGUUAUACACGAAAAAUGGGUAUUCUUGUGAGUGGUUGUGUGCAUUGGGUGGUGACCCGGCAGCUUGAAUUGGAUCAACUUGCAACCGAAUUGGUCAUUGCCUUUGACAUUGUGAAAGAGACUUUUCGGGAGGUGCCGAUGCCGGAGAGCAUGAACAGGAAAUGCCAGAUUGAUGUGGGGUACUUGGGAGGGUGUCUUUGUAUUGUAGCUAAAUAUGAAGAUGCGGGUGUUGAUGUUUGGACGCUAAAGGAGUAUGGGGUUAAGGAGUCAUGGAGUAAGUUGCUUACCUUAACGCAGGCUCGAAGGAUUAAGAGUGUUAGGCCUCUGGUGUAUUCAAAAAAUGGCCAUGAAGUUUUGUUGGAACAAGACCACGAAAAUCUUGUUUGGUUUGACUUGAAAAGUCAGAGGGUCAAGAGUGUUAAGGUUCGCGGUUUGCCGGAUUUGUUUGAGGCUGUAGUUUGUAUGGAAAGCCUUGUUUCAGUUCAUCCUAGUAGACGAGAUGAUAGGAAAAAGCAGGAAUCUGUAGGGGGGAAGAAGAAUAAGAAGAGGGAUGAUUUCCUGGCUGAAGGCUUCAAGUUGGUGCUUUAGGCAAUCAGAAAAGAAGACAAGAACAAAGAGUGGAGAGGCUGAAGAUGAAGGAACCAUGUUGAAUUUGAGCUGAGCACAUCCGUGUGUCAAACGACUAGAGCAUAAUUACCUUACAAUACUUAAACUUCCUUUGUAGGAACAUACUCAAGUCAGGUUUUGUCCAAUCAUUACCAUAUCAGGUGCGCAUUUCUUCUUCCACAGCUGCUAACCAACAACAAGGAGGUGCCUUCUUUUGGGAGGAAAAGACAACAGCCUAUCUGACUCUGUAUUGAACUUUGUUGGCCAGCUCCAGCUCUGGUCGUCCAGGCGAGAGUGAUAUUAUUAUUGACAAGUGUCACACUUUUUCACUAUGUAUUGGAUUCAGAGCGAUGUUAAUUUAGAUGGUCUAUCUAUUGGCUUAGCUUGCGGGCGAGGAGCUGAUUAAAAUAGGUCGUCAGUGAUACUGAAGGAGGAGCGCUUAGAAACUAGUUUUCUAAAGUCAUCUGAUUGCAUUUGCAGACCAGAGACUUUUUUGGUUUUAGUAUUCAUAUUUGGGCACCUAAAAGGUGAGAAGACUGGAGGAAGAAGCUCCUUGGAGGCUAAGUAAAGCCAAUUUCCAUAUUUGAUUGGGAAUUUUCAUUUCAUUGUCCAUUUAAAACACUGUUCCACUCAAUCCAUUGUGUAUUUUAUGUUUUCAUUAGUUUAAUAAUAAGCUGCUGCUGAUAUUGGCAGCUGAAACAAGCUCAGA